CCUACGGGUGGCAGCAGUGAGGAAUAUUGGUCAAUGGACGAGAGUCUGAACCAGCCAAGUAGCGUGAAGGAUGACUGCCCUAUGGGUUGUAAACUUCUUUUAUAUGGGAAUAAAAUGUUCCACGUGUGGGAUUUUGUAUGUACCAUAUGAAUAAGGAUCGGCUAACUCCGUGCCAGCAGCCGCGGUAAUACGGAGGAUCCGAGCGUUAUCUGGAUUUAUUGGGUUUAAAGGGAGCGUAGGUGGAUUGUUAAGUCAGUUGUGAAAGUUUGCGGCUCAACCGUAAAAUUGCAGUUGAAACUGGCAGUCUUGAGUACAGUAGAGGUGGGCGGAAUUCGUGGUGUAGCGGUGAAAUGCUUAGAUAUCACGAAGAACUCCGAUUGCGAAGGCAGUUCACUGGACUGCAACUGACACUGAGGCUCGAAAGUGUGGGUAUCAAACAGGAUUAGAUACCCGUGUAGUC
rnacentral:rRNA from 1 species